AUCUACAGUCAUACCACCCUGAACAAACCUGAUCUCACCUGAUCUUGGAAACUAAGCAGGAUCAGGCCUGGUCAGUACCUGGAUGAGAGAAUUAAAUAGGGCCAUCAUUCGCAUGAAGAUU
ensembl:rRNA 5S_rRNA 5S ribosomal RNA